rnacentral:lncRNA from 1 species
GGGAGGUCAGGAUAGAUGCCUGUGACCAGGGAGUCCAGGAGCUAGGAUUUUGGAGGGAGCUACCCCGUGUAUAUAGUGUGCUGCUCCUGGAGAGACACAAGAGGGAUCAGUUGAUGGGGAACGUGGGGAAAACAAAAGUUCGAAGGUCCAGAGGAAAGAUAAGUCAGAGGGCAGUAUAGAGAAGGCUCUGGAGACCCUGAGAGGGAGAGAGCAGACAUGUCCAUGAGCGGGAAUGAUAGGAGCAACUCAGAAGGAAGACAGCCAACAGAUUCACUGCCAGGAUUGGCUCCCUGGUCCCUCGAUUUCAAAGCUCCUCGUGGCCCAUGGACAGCAUUUGAUUUGAACCCAGCGUGGAUAAAUUGGAAGCAGUUGUGGAGGGCACACAACACACCCAGACUAUCUACCAGAAUCAGAGAGAGUCUCAGAUUCCAAAGAUGUUUCUUCAGCAAAUACCGAAAGUCUUCUUCAAGAAAUUCUUGUAUCCAAGAUCUUGGUAUAAACAACUCCAUCAUUGGCUUAUGCUGCUGGAAUUCUAGAAACACAAAGUGGGCAUGGCCAGAGCUGCUUUCUGGAGUGUGCCUUCUUGGUGCCAGUCAUUCUGGGUUUGAACAGACCUGUAAACUACACCAUCAGGCCAAGGGGAUGGAAAGAGAAGACUCCAGUCUUUAGAAGAAGCCAGUUACUUCUGAAGGUGGAGACAUGGGGUGACGGGAGAGGGUGGGGAGUUCAAAUCUAACUUUGUAUUUUCAUGUUUGGGCAAGCCCUCAUUGGAUUGGCUCAUGUCUCCUGAGAUGCAUGGUUUACCUAUCAAUUCUUGAUGUCUCCAAGGAGUCUUAACAACUGUGAUUGAUGGCAGAGAGAUCACAGGUUCAGGUGAGUGUCAGGUCAUGAGUGUAUAUCUAGAUCAAUGAACCCCCUAGCAAACAUGGCUGUGGAGUCACAUGGUAGGUACAGUACCAGAAGGUUCCUAGAGUUUUUAGAUGAUAGUGAUAGAGGAUUUGGGAAGGCAGAUAGUCCAUCCUUUGACUUUAGAUUCUUCUAGAUCAUAACUGAGUGGAGGUUGGAAAACCAACCCAUGUCUAUUGACUGAGUAAAAUGUCAGUAGCACAAGCAACUUCAGCUCUGAUGCCCUGGGGAUGCACAGUAGAACACAGACCAGGAUGCAGCCUCCAAAGUCUCUAUCUGGUG